GACAAAAGCGGAGCGGGGACUUGGCAGCGGCGCCCGGCGGCUCCUCAGCUGCCCGUGGCACGCAUGGCUCGCCGAGGAGGGGCCGCCUCCCGCGCGCCCUCCCUCCUGCCACCCGUCGCCCGCUCCCCGCCGCUCCGCUCCUGCUCGGCUCGGGCACCGGCGGCGUCUGGGCCAGGGCGCGCGAGGCGCGGUGGCCGCGCGUCCUUGGAGCGGUGGCCUUCAGGCGCCCCCGGCAGUCCCGCUAAGCGGAGCGCAUCCCGGCGGCGGCGGCGGCGGCGACGCCUCCCAGCCGCGCGCCCAGCGCCGGGCGGCUCGGGAACUUGCUCUCCGGCCCGGCCUCCCGAUUCUCGGGGCUCUCCGGCCUCUCCUGGGGGCCCUCGGCGUUUCCCCUCCCCGCCAACCUUCCGAACAAAGUUACUGAAGAACAAACCGGAUGGCCGGGCUUUGCAGGACGCACUGCCCGGCGGAGAGAACGUCAGGUAAUGAAGCCCUUUCUGAAGGCAGGAAGAAACUCAAUGGUGUUUUGAGCAAGAGUCCUGAAUUUGGCAGAUUUUCCUUCUCCAGUGUAGAAAUAAAAAUUACAUGUCAUUUCCGACAGGAGCUGGAAUAGUUGACUGAUGAGAGCGGGAUGUCAUCAGGUGUGGGUGUCAUCAUGAAAUGCCCAGCGGAAACGCAAGUGGACGAGACUGAUGUGGUGGAAUCUGAAGAUAACUGGACACCUGGGAGAAGCCUGUUGUCAUUGCUCGGCAUUUACAGCACCUGCAAUUCAUUAGCUUUUCCUUAACCAAACCCUGUGACCUGGAUUCUUCUUUUAAAAUGAAAAAACAGAAAGAGGGACAAGGGAUAAACUCAAGUUAACUAAGAAAUUUUUUCCAUGGUAACAUACACAAAUAUUACCAUGAGCCUGAAAGCUAGAGUUCUAUGGUGGGAAGAAAUACAUGGUCCCUACUAAGUCUAACCAGGACUAUUUGACUGUGUAUAACAAUGAUAAAAAAAUAAAAACUACUGUUAUUUUUUUGCAAUAUAUUAUAACAUGUGUUACCUUAGUCAAGCUUCACAAAGAACCCAGGUGGUAGAUAAGUUGGGUAAGAUCAUUUUUAUGUCCCAGGCACUGCUCUCAGCAUACCUUAGAUGUAUCAGUAACUCUGUAUGACAUAGAUAUUAUUAUUAGUCCCACUUUACAUAGGAGGAUAGUUAAGCACAGAGAGGUAACUACCUGUGUCAGUCAGGAUUCAGUUAGGGGAGCAGAACCACCAUGUGUAUUUCUGGAACAAGAAAGGCAUUAAAGCAAUGAGAACUUACAAGACUGUGGGAAGAGCUAGAGAAGUAAAGGUCCAGAAAAGGGAUGUUGAAGGACCAGAGGAAAGUCAGUGUCGGGGACCAUGGCACGGGGGCAUGAGUGGAACUGGUAGGCAUACCCACAGCUGGGCUGGGAGCACAGUGGGGGCCGAGUAUUUGGUGGAGGGCCUGAGCCCACAGCUGGUUGGUGGCCUGUAGUCCAAGACAUGGAUGUGGAGUGGGGACAACGGGCAAGUGGAGCCCAUGGGUUUAUCUCUCAUCACUGCUGUCUCUCUGAUGGCUUUUUAUCCUGCAGUAUAAAUUUAGUUAGAAUCCUUUUAUCAAACAUCUAAAAAUUUAACUGAAACAAAUAUUUGCACACUUAUAUAAAAGGACAUUCAUUCAAAAUCAUUCAUGAGCAU